GGAUGCAAUCAUACCAGCACAAAAGCACCGGAUCCCAUCAGAACUCCGAAGUUAAGCGUGCUUGGCGAGAGUAGUACUAGGAUGGGUGACCUGCUGGGAAGUCUUUGUGUUGCAUUCC
rnacentral:rRNA from 1 species